rnacentral:rRNA from 1 species
AUUGAACGCUGGCGGCAAGCCUAACACAUGCAAGUCGAACGAGUGGCGGACGGGCGAGUAAUGUCUGGGAAAAUGCCUGAUGGAGGGGGAAAACUACUGGAAACGGUAGCUAAUACCGCAUACCAUCGUAUGGGCCCUUGUUGGAUUAGCUAGUAGGUGGGGUAAAGGCUCACCUAGGCGACGAUCCCUAGCUGGUCUGAGAGGAUGACCGGCCACAAUGGGACGUAGAAACGGUCCCGACUCCUACGGGAGGCAGCAGUGGGGAAUAUUGCCCAAUGGGCGCAAGCCUGAUGGAGACAUGCCGCGUGUAUGAAGAAGGCCUUCGGGUUGUAAAGUUCUGUCAGCCGGGAGGCGUUACCCGAAGAAGAAGCACCGGCUAACUCCGUGCCAGCAGCCGCGGUAAGUG